rnacentral:rRNA from 1 species
UUCGUAGGUGGCUUGCUAAGUCAGACGUGAAAUCCCUCAGCUUAACUGGGGAACUGCGUCUGAGACUGGUGAGCUUGAGUGCAGGAGAGGAACGCGGAAUUCCAGGUGUAGCGGUGAAAUGCGUAGAUAUCUGGAGGAACACCGGUGGCGAAGGCGGCGUUCUGGACUGCUACUGACACUGAGGAACAAAGCCAGGGAGCAAACG